CCUACGGGUGGCAGCAGUGGGGAAUAUUGGACAAUGGGGGCAACCCUGAUCCAGCCAUGCCGCGUGUGCGAAGAAGGCCCUCGGGUUGUAAAGCACUUUCAGUGAGGAAGAACGCCUGGUGGUUAAUACCCAUCAGGAAAGACAUCACUCACAGAAGAAGCACCGGCUAACUCCGUGCCAGCAGCCGCGGUAAUACGGAGGGUGCGAGCGUUAAUCGGAAUUACUGGGCGUAAAGCGCGCGUAGGUGGCUUGAUAAGCCGGUUGUGAAAGCCCCGGGCUCAACCUGGGAACGGCAUCCGGAACUGUCAAGCUAGAGUGCAGGAGAGGAAGGUAGAAUUCCCGGUGUAGCGGUGAAAUGCGUAGAGAUCGGGAGGAAUACCAGUGGCGAAGGCGGCCUUCUGGACUGAUACUGACACUGAGGUGCGAAAGCGUGGGUAGCAAACAGGAUUAGAUACCCGUGUAGUC
rnacentral:rRNA from 1 species